rnacentral:rRNA from 1 species
GACGAACGCUGGCGGCGUGCUUAACACAUGCAAGUCGAACGAAGUGGCGAACGGGUGAGUAACGCGUAAUCAACCUGCCCUUCAGCGGGGGACAACAGUUGGAAACGACUGCUCAUACCGCAUACUGAAGGUGGGGCUUGCGUCUGAUUAGCUAGUUGGAGGGGUAACGGCCCACCAAGGCGAGGAUCGGUGGCCGGUCUGAGAGGAUGAACGGCCACAUUGGGACGGAGACACGGCCCAGACUCCUACGGGAGGCAGCAGUGGGGAAUCUUCCGCAAUGGACGAAAGUCUGACGGAGCAACGCCGCGUGAGUGAUGACGGCCUUCGGGUUGUAAAGCUCUGUUAAUCGGGACGCGGUACCGGAAUAGAAAGCCACGGCUAACUACGUGCCAGCAGCCGCGGUAAUUC